GUCUUAGCCCAGAGAACCAGAUUUGAGCUAUUCCCUUUCUCUAUCUAGGGUUUUGGAGUUGAGAGAAGUAGAAAUAGUGAUUUAAGCUUUAUUUUCCUCUUUUCUCUUGUUGCUUGCUGGUUUGGUGAGUUGGAGCAGCUGUGGAAGAGUGAAAAGGAGUCUUGGGGAGAGGUAUUUCGUGACCUUAGCUCUGUAGGAAGCUAAGUUGAAGUUUUAUGAGGUAAGCUAAUCAUUUCUCUCUCUAGUUUGAUGCUAGUAGGGAAGUUGAUGUUGGUUCUUUGUUCUUUGCUGCUAGCUGAAUUGGAGAAGAGUUUUAGCAGCUAUAAAGAUGUGUUUGCUGUACCCUAACUCAGUGAGAGCUGAGUUGAAGCCUUGUGAGGUGAGUUAUUAUACUAGCUACUAAGUUUGAGAGGCUAGUAGUGAAAUUUGAGUUUGUUCUUUACUCUUGCUGCCAGCAGGUUUUAAGGAUAGUUGUAGCAGCUGUAGCAGAGAGGUUUAGCUGUGGUUCUUCAAUUCUAAUCCCAGGAAAAGCUGAAUUAAAGCUUUGGGAAGGUGAAUUAACAACUCUCUUCUCUAGUUUCAUGUAAUAGUGGUUAUAGUAAUGGAUUGUGAGCUUGUUCUUGCUCUAUGCUGCUAGCUAAUUGGAGGAACUUUAUAGUGGCUGUAGAAGUGGAGUUUGGUUGUGAUUCUUCAAUCUUAACUCAGUAGAAACUGAGUUAGAGCUGUACAAGGUGUACUAGCCAACUUUGCUACUAGUUUUGAGAUGUUGGAAAUAAUUGUGCAAGAGUUUGUGGUGUAUGUCCACCGCAGGUUCACAGUAGGAUAUUGGAUUCCUUUGGCUGGGAUUCAUGAACUUUGGAAGGUUGGUUUGAUGUGUUCCAACCUGAAUAGAAAGGGAAUUCAAGUUUGGUUACUCCUAGGAUGCUUGGGAGACUGCGGAUCACUUUGAAUUGAGUUUUGGUGAUUCUUAAAGGCCGGUUUUGAAGUGCUUCAACCUGAUUUAAAAGAAAGUUCAAGUGUGGAUUCUAAACCAGGGCACUUGGAAGCUAGAGAACAUCUUCGGUUGUGGGAUUGACGAAAGUCGGCAGUGAAUUGAGCCUUCCACAGCGGAAAAAGUUAGGGUUCUCGGCGAGGGGUCAGCGGCUAGCUAGAGCCUUCUCGAUGUUAAAUAGAUGAACCUCUACCAGUUUAUAUAGUUUAGUUCAGUGUUGUAUACUGGGUUUAUGUAAUUGUACUUGUUCUUAUCAGUGGUAAUAAGGUUAUGUGUUGUAUAAGUUUAUGAGUUUUUUAAAGUUUUGCUCUGAUUACCUGAUUAAGUUAGUAGACUUUUACU